CUUUUCCCUUUCGCGUUGUUGCGUGGUCGCUAGUUGUUCGCGCUAUUUGUUAGGGGGAACACCACGUAUUAUAACUCUCGGUAUUUCACAUCAAGAAGCCAUAGAUUGGGUCAAAUUGCACGUUUAACAAGAUUUAAAACCUAUAGAAACAAAACAGUCUUGUGUCUGGAACCGGGUCCAACGUAAUAAGUAUGGCGUACAAUGACAUUUGAUGGUGGAUAACGUUUCAAACAUAUUUAUUAUGAACAAUAAUGUGUUUAUUUGGGAGAAAUGGAGCUGGUAAAACUCACAUCAUGCAGGGUUUUCCCUCCAUACAGUUUGUAUGUCCCAUGAAUUUCAUCACCUUUCUCAGAGGGAAGGGAGUGUUUGGCAAACACUGUUUGCUGCGUAGCUCAGCUAGGUUUGGUGCCACAUCUGCUUAUGUUGAAAUAAUUUUCAACAAUGAUGAUAGACAUUUACCAGAAGAAUGAAAUGAAGUGGAUCUGAGUGAGAAAUAGCAUCAAUACUUGCACAAUGCAAGUUGGUAAAACAACUAUUCUAAAUAAUACUUUAUUCUAAAUCUUUCAUCCAAAUCUGGUUGAUACUGAAAGAGCAGCGCCGUCAACAGCUAACUGCAAAACUUAGUCGGGAGGCUUUAUUUUCUUCCGUUUUGCAAAUAGUUGUUCACGCUCGGAUUUGAAAAAAAAAAGAAAAUAACUUAAACGUAAAAAAAAAAAAAAAAAAAGAUCAAGAGCCAAAGAUCGACAGUACAGCAGCCAUAGAGUCAGUGAACAAUGUGUGGAAUCUGAUAUGCUAGCCCUUGAAACCCCAGCUGCCCUUCUGCCUCAACGAGACUAUGAAGCAAUUAUAAUUUCAGGAGGUCCCAACUCAGUUUACGCGGCGGAUGUCCAGCUAUACGACCCAGCAAUCUUUACUAGCGGUCUUCCAUUACCUGGGAAUUUGUUAUGCAUGCAAUUACUCAAUAAGAAAUUAGAAAAAAGAUGGUCACGAAGAUGGGCAAUUCGAGAUCCAACAUCCAAGUAGAAACGAGUGCCCAUUUUUUAAGGCUUAGAGACUGGGUCAGUGUACAUCGCGUACUUGAACGUGGAACGGUACUGCGUGGAGGUCAUGGUGGAAAUGGGAGGAGCCAAAGGUACGGCGUGGAAGUCAUCUUGGAAAUGGGAGGAGCUAGAAGCCGUGGAAAAUGCCGGAGGCUGGGUAUCCUGUGGAAUUGAUUCCGAAAAUCGUGAAUAAUGUGCUAGGAUUCGCCGUGGCGGAAACACCUAGAGGCUUCAAUCAGCCAGCCUGUGACGGAAUGGCCGCCUUACGCGAAGUUGCGUCUAUUUCGUGGAGGAAGUUUGAACUCGAUUUACAACAAGAUAUCGUUGCGUUUAUAUUUGCUCCAAAGCCCGGUUUGGAUGACGCUAGUUAGUAUCCAGCACAUCACUGGCGAGGUACUCGAAGACUGUGUCUUUUUCGAACAUGAAGGAACCCUGUACAUGGCUUUGGCCAUACAGCUUGGUGCAAUGCAGUAUUGUCGAAAUUCCAGAUUGCAAUGCAUAAUUUAUGAGGGGUUAGGGACCACUAUGGAUAUGAAGCACGCUUUUGCGGCUCCUGAACUUAAGAAAUAUGUGUCCUUCAGUCAUCCGAUACUGGUCCCUUGGGGCCAUUUCACAUAGAUUCUUCCUUUCGUCUGAGUCGAUUUACUGAUGCGGAGGAUUCAGAGUUAUUGGAAAUUCUAAACAUUGACCCGGAUUGAGUGUUCCAGUUUGAUACUUCUCUAACGGAAGCUCAGUGGUGCCUUCUUCCAGGAGGAUCAAAUAAUUCCUACAUCUAUUGCCUUCAAGAGAAAAGGUUAUUACAGUGGCAAAUUCUGCCGCACGAUCGGACUUCUAGUGCUGUUUCCUGGAUGCACAUUCAGCAGAAGGGAAUCAGUGGCGGUUACGAAUCGACAAUUCUUUUUUUUUUCAAUGCUUUUUUUUUUCAAUGCUUUUAAUUCCCAAGUAAUCAGCUCACAAGAAUGUAGUUAUCAAAUUAAAAUACUCGUAGUUUAUUAUAAAUGUUUUCCAGAGCCGCUUUCAGUUUUACGCAUCAGAUACAUCUGGUCACUUUCAUUCUGUUUUUGCUGCAUCGGAAGACAAUUUUGAAUGGCCAACCUCUUGCAACUCUUUCUCGCCUAGACGGAUCAAGUUCUGCCCACCUUUAUGUGGACAUAAGAAAGUUUUGCCAUUCAAAUGUUAGAAGACUUCCGCGAAGAGUCGAAAAAUCGAUUCUUUGGAAAAGUGCCUCAUUAAUUUCAAUUCCCUGAUUUCAAAACGUAGUAACGAGCACUAUGGCCCGCGUUGAAGAACUAAAGAACAACAUGGUUAAUUUUAAAGACAAUGUAACCGCCUACGGCACUGUCGUUAUCGCACAAAUGAAUUUCUCUUAAUCCCCUGUGAUUGACACAGUUAAAGUGUUGCACUAAUUUAGCGAAGGAUUUGUGAAACCAAAAGAAAUUAAGGGCGUUGAAGAAAUACUAGACAUCGCAGCAAAAAAUUUCUGGCUAGAAUCCACCACUUUUACGGGUCGUAUACGUCUCAAUGGUGCAUUACUGCAUUAUUAACGGUUGGGAUUACGAUGAAUUUUUCCGUCAAGCAUGGCGCUACUCUUCAUCAGAACAUACUGUUCUUUAUCAUGUGUGGAUCGGAGGUCUUAAAGCUGAAAAUGUUUAGGUUGGUUCACUAUUGGAGGAUCACUGCCCUCGCGUUGGCUACUGAAAUCCGGAGAGAAAAUAAAUGGAGGUGCUGAUUUGGUUAGUUUGGAUGUCCGAGGUAAUAUCGACGUUGGCAAUAACUCCAUCAACGGUGUAGCUGUGGAGGAUACAUUGCGAAAGAAUGCCUCAUAUAUCGUCAUUCAAGGGACGAAAUCAUUUUCCGCUAUCGAAGUUAAAAACAAUAUUACAACCAGCACCGUCAAUAAGAAAAGCGAGAAAGAGCAGAAUUUCACCACAUCGGUGCGGAUCGUCGGUACUGUACAGGUAGUUGAAAGCUUCCGCAGUGACUGGAUUAACGGAAUAAACGUGUACGUGCUCCCCGGAGUACUCGUUGACAAGAAUGCCCACCAAAUCGGAAUAAAGGAUUUGUCCAUUUUACUGGUCCUUUGCUUGUUGACGAUGCUGAAGUGGAUUCUCUAAACGAUCUCCUUAUCAAAGAUUUAUUGAGCACCUCGGGCCAGCAAACUAUCCUAGCGAGUAUUGAAGUCGACGUCCUAGAUGUCCAAGGAAACAUUGACUGUCCAGAUAUUAAUGGACGAAAUGUGGAUGACUUCCUGUACACUGAUGAAGAUGACACACGCAUUGUGCUGGGUCGGGUAUGGAUCUCAGACGACUUGGUCAUGGAAAACGGAAGUUUUAACAGAGUGGAUAUCAUCAAGUGGUUGGAUCCACCGUCUUUGCGGAUAGAUUCGAACAUUAACGAAAAACGGUGAUGAAGCCGCACACGCUGCUCAUGUCCAGAAGAUCUAUACGAUUGAUCUUUCAAAUCUUCCCCAAAACUAUUGGACAAAAUCAAUAGACCAAUCGAUCCUUGUUAACGUUCGAAUGCCCAUUUGAAGUUGGAAUGAAAGAAAAUAUUACUGCUCGGACCUUCAUGGAACGCUUCCUCGAUCGUGAUUUCUUCUGACGAGAACCAACCAGACGUUCAACGUUGAAGUGUAGUUGACCGAUGAUGUUACCGUACACGGGGAUAUGGUGAUUCGCGUUGCCAACUAACCAUUCACGGAAACCUGGCUGUAGAGGAGACGUUUAAUAAUCUGAACAUUCCGCAAGGCAUAACUGAUCCAUACGGCAAAGUGGCACAAUCUUCACAUCCAACGUCACCAUUUAUGGCGACGUCGUCAGUUCAGCGGGUUAUGUCAUCACACUGAGUAUGGAGGCUGGAGUUAUGCUGGAUGAUUUUGUUGCAGCUGCAGCUACGAUAGACGAGGACGCAACCAUUAUUGAACACGUACAUUUUAAGCGACAUUCAGAAAUGGAUGAUUUGCUCAACGAAAAUUCACUGAACGGCUGAGAUGUCAACGAUAUUGUUUCCAAAGGUUUAAGAAGAAAAACUUUGGAUUUCGUACAGUGGCCAUAGAUUACGAUUCACGGUCACGUAACAUUUAGGGACUCGUUUGAAACGGACACAAUCAACAGCUGCAAAGUUGAAGAAUAUUUAAGUCAAGGAGUGAAUAUGACAGACCCCAAAACAAUCUCUGGAACAAAAAAAAAAAUAAACACGCCAUCUUAUCGCUGUCGAAAAGGAAGUCACUCCAGGCUUAUUUAAUGGCGGUCAUCUGAAUUUCUCAAUGAUGUUGACAGUCUCUGAUAACCAGACCAAUACUGGCGACUGCAUCUUUGAUCAUCUGAAAUCCGAAAUAUCAAGUUGCGAGCUACUAACGCGCAGAAUCUCACCGAUUUUGUCCUGAUAGCUGGCACAAGUGAUGUCCAACCCAUCACUGGACCGAUGGAUAUUCAGCGCGUCACUGGUGAAAAUUCACUUAAAAUUGAAGACCAUGUCCUGGAUGGAUACAACAUUACAACCUAACUGAGUAUCUCAAUGUAACGGAAUUAGCUCAUCUCGACAGCUUGUUGGGUUGUCCAUCCAAAAUGGAUCGUUAUUGCUUGACCAGCCCUCGGAAAACAAUCCUGACCUUGCUACAGUAUCACUUAGAGCCUUACGAAAAGACAGAGCCCAAGCUGUUACCGGUAAUUCUAGAUAAUGCCUAUCUAGUUAACUACGCAACCUGGUAUGCCGUGGAAGAGCCACCUUUGGCUACCCCCCUUUCCACGAUGACUUCUACGCUGUAUCUUUGGCUCCUCCCAUUUCCACUAUGACUUCCACGCCGUACCGUUCCACGUUCCAAGUACAUGAUAGACACUGACCCUAGAGACUCGGCAAAUGGUAUUGCUGACCCGUGGUAACAGCGUCGACCAGGUUGCAGAAGGCUUGCGUUGCGUCGCAAAAUGUUCGCGUCGUAUUAUUUCCGCAAUUGCUGAUACUGACACCGUCUUUGCAGAGUCCAGUUCCAUCCUGAAGUUGAUUUGACUGAAAACGAUCCCUUCAGUCUUUGUAUUGUGAACACACAUUGACCUGUAGUUGUUUACCUUUUGUGCACAUUCUUUGUCGGCUUUAAUUUACCCAAGUAAUCUAUAAUCACUUUGUGUCUUCACUAAAGAAAAGAAUUCCAGCAGCUGCUUGCUUCAUUAGAGCUUAUUGUGGUGCUGUAAUAGUAUGUUUGCAGAAUUGUGAAAUUGCUUCCCUAAAGAAUGUACUCAGCACUGAAAAAUGAGCACAGCAAAAACGGUUGGUCGCAAUUCUAGACCUCAAAUGUUCAGAUUUCCCUGUUAUACGAGCGGGUCAUGAAGGAAAUGGCAAGGGUUCCUACACGGAAAUGGCGGGUAUUACAUGGCAAGAAGAAUACAUCCUCGACUUCACUUCUGUGCUGCAGAAAAAUCAGCAAAUCUAAAUCCUCAUUUUCUGCCGUUCCAAUGCGUCUCCGUCACUCCAAUGCUUUCGACAACAGGACCACAGCAGCAUUCUUCAAUCUGACUACUCCUGAUUGUCUUGAAGAUGUAUUGCUAUUGCUCGUCAUGCCCGGUUUGAAAUUUUACAGGACUGCGUUGUAAAUUGGUUUCACCUUUACGAAGAUUUAGAUCACAUGUUUACUGUGAAAGCGAUCAUGCGUCUGUUACCGAAAAUGGCUCUCUCCAUUGGCGACAUCAGAACUCCUCAGUGUGUCAUUCUGAUGCAGAGCUCCUGAAAUGAAUUGAUCGUUCUGAACCAUCUCAGGCCAUAGCUGAAAUUAUAGGAAAGUGAUUGCUUUUUGGUUGGUUUCUUCGCCGUCAGAUGCAUCAAUCGGAAUGGUGUUCACUUCCUCGGCGUCAUUGCUCACAAAACUUUGUGGUGCAUUGUUCUUAUCUCGAAGUUGUAUCAACUCGCUAAGGCAAAUCGGAAGAGGGUACUAUAUUUUCCUUGACAUAAAGAACUUUAAUGCAUUAGCAAGUCAUCCGCCUCCAAACAGAUCAAACGAACGAGAUAUCGUGCCUCGUCCGGUGACUUGACGUUUGGUUUAUCAAAGUAAUUUCAUUUCGAUUUGACUCUGAAAUACUUUACAGUAUGGCUGGCCGAUGCUUAACCAUUGAGCCGUAAGUCACAUUAAAUAGUUCAAUGUAUCGCUUUGUCAUUUAGGUUAAAGUACAUAGUUUAUACGUUCACUUAGAAUUAUAUUGUUAAAUGGAAUUUUCCAAGGAAAAUGCAUGAAUUAUUGUUCACUUUGCAGACUGUAUGAGCUGCCAUUUAAUAAGCUAAAUUACAUGGUUUCCGCGGGAAGUCCAUAUUUUAGAAGUCCAUUUUGGACAGUCCAAGUCCACAGUUUAGUAACACCCGCUGAUUAACUAAUUCUUUUUUCUCAAGCAGACGAACUGUUUGAUCAUUUUUGUCAUUGUCACUUACAUCGCCAUCUAGCGGAAAUUCUGUUAGGAAAAUAAGCCUGACUUUUACUUUCUGGUUCAGUUACGUGAAAUAUUGCUAUAAAAUUACAUGAUUUGUAUUCGAAAUUCAACGACAACGUCGAAAAUUUAGUUCAAUAUGGCUUGGAAGAAACAGUAUGAGUUAUUUUUUGUUUAAGAAAGUCGGGCUUUCUUAGCUUAUGAAAAAGUGGGAGGGUUUCAAGUUUGGUUUUAAAGCGGGUGGCGCCUUGACCACUCCUGUAUAUUUUCAAGACAUCUAGGGGAGAAAUAAAUAACUCCGUAGAAUUUUUUAUGGAUAUGUCAGCUGUCAUGUCAGCUGUUCUGUUUCGCAUGGCUUCGGAUUGAGGUUGGAUGCUUAAACUAAUGUCUCUCUUCUUGAAAUCUUCUUGAAAUUUAACCACCGAUUCCGUGUGUUUGAGCUGAGUCUUGUGAAUUCCAUCAAUGCAGAGUUGUUCAAGGAGGAAGCAUGGCUUGGCUUUGCUACCACGUUUUUCAUCUCCUUUAGUCCAAUAUACCUAAUUUGUUCCAAAGGCGAUGCGUAAAAAAAGUAGUUUUUUAAAAUAUAUUUCCCUAUCUAAAUCUCUUGAAUUCUUGGAGGUGUCAUCAGGUAAUGUUAGAAUUUAUCGUCAAUAGUUUUAGUUUUUGAAAUUGUGCUUUCAGGUCUUUGGGAUGUACCUGAUGUAUUGUGGUGGCCGCAGAAUCAUUCAAUGACUUGGUUUAAUCCAGGACUUGGUUUUUUUGAAGGUGGUUUACAGUUUUAAUUUUCAGAGAUCCUGGAGGUAUCUGAUGUGUUGCUUUGGUGUUGGAGUUACUCGGUGACAGAAGGGAAUGCCAACAAUGUUAUGUUGUCAGUGUAAAUAAAACAUAUCCAAUAAC